CCGAUACGUUUGUAUUUAUUCCACAGGGCGAAAAUGACGAGAAGAAUAAUUCGGAAGGAAGAAUAAGAAGCCAGUUGUCAGGUCUUGUCUUAGCCCCUCAUUAACUGGUAAUGUCAAAACGAAAUCGCAUGAAAAUAUUUGAAACUGGCAUCACAAGUUGAUAAAUUAUUGACUUGGAAUAACAGUUACCUUGGUUACGCAUUUUAUACUGAUAGCCAAAGAGAAAGGCAACAUUUCGAUCGUAGCGGACAUUGUGACGACACCACCUACUGCUGAAUUAGACCCGUUGUAGAUUAAUAGCUCGGCUCAAACCAACGAGGAGAACAUGGGAAUGAUGCAAGGAGCUAUGCGCACUGCUGUCCCUAUAUAAUGUUCGGCGAAUAUAUUUCUUUGGGGAGGAUUCUAUCAACAAUCUUCGAAUAAGGGUAAACUACCUGCUACGCAAUGGGAAACGGUAAAACUACAAAUUUGGAUCUCCGAACACAAAGUGUCUGUCGUUUAUGUCAUCGGGACGGAUCAUUGGUUGAGUCUUCCAACUACGAUGAAUAGAAUUCCAUUCGGAAUACCGAAGCAAGUAGUGUUUCAAGACGCUCAUAGACGAUGACAAUCUGCAGAUUUCGUCUGCAAAGCUUUCACUCAAUGCAAAGUAUAUUUGGCGGAAAUGUUGGUUGACACAUUGAAACUGGAUACUACUGUAAUGAUAAAUGUUUCGGUUGGUUUAUGAUUUUGUUGAUUGUUGAUUCAAUAAAAUUUCGAAAAUCGAGUUCAUUUAAAUGUAA